UACGUAGGGACCAAGCGUUGUUCGGAUUUACUGGGCGUAAAGGGCGCGUAGGCGGCUUGGUAAGUCACUUGUGAAAUCUCCGAGCUUAACUCGGAACGGUCAAGUGAUACUGCUGUGCUAGAGUGCAGAAGGGGCAAUCGGAAUUCUUGGUGUAGCGGUGAAAUGCGUAGAUAUCAAGAGGAACACCUGAGGUGAAGACGGGUUGCUGGGCCAACACUGACGCUGAGGCGCGAAAGCCAGGGGAGCAAACGGG
rnacentral:rRNA from 1 species